UGAAGAUUUUAUAGCCGUUGGUGAGAUUGCUAUAAAUACUCCCUUAAACCCUAUCAAUUUCAUUAACAACAACAACUCAUCUCUUCCUUCUCUUUUUAAAUUUCAAUUAUUCUUCUGUUCAGAGAGAAUGAGAGUGAGAGAGAGAGACAUCAUCCUCACCAUGUCGUCCACGUUUCUCCCGUUCUUCCUUCACUACGAUAAGUCACGACCAUGCUUUGCUCGAACCAUCAAUCAGUUAUUUUUCCCGGAGCACUGGAGAUUCGGUUUCAGAAAACGGCGAUCCUACUCUGAAUCACAAAACGAACUCUGUAUGACAUGAGAAUUUUGAUAAUCAAUACGGCGAAGAGACUUGCGACUUACGAGGAUUAUACUGAUAUAAAUCCAGGUUUUGUGUAGGUGCAUAUUUUCUCGAGAUAAUAACAACCAUUAGUUUGCUUUGCUUUUGCAAUACUGGAAAAUUGUCCAAAAGCUGAACCAGGGGGAUAUUAUGGCAUGGUUACGGUUGACCACUGUCAUGUAUUUUCUCCUCGGCUCAAUUCAAUUUACACUGGCAUGGUUACGGUUGGUUUUCUGAGCUAAUAUUCUUACACUAUCUCGGCAUGUGACAUACUUGAAUUUGUUUUGGGUAUCAAUAAUGAAUGACUUUACAUUUUUAAGAAAAGGAAAUUUCCUUUUUGUGCUGAUGAAUUUCCUUUUUUUUCUUUGUGGUUUUGAAAAAACACAACUUUUUUUAUGAAGAUCUGGAUUCACCGCCGGAAAGGUCAGAAUCUGCGGGAGAUGACUUUCCAACACAACGAGGCUUUUCAGAUUUUCCAACUACGACACAAUUACACGGUGGGCUUGGAAAUGGGCAUUUUUGUAUGGGGCUUUGCUAUCAAAUCCAAAAAAAUUUGUUAAGUUCCUUGUUAAGCUCCCACAUUCACUACCUUGAUUAGAACUUAGAAAAAGCUCUGUGCAGUUCUUGCUAAAUCAGAUCGGAAGCUUGGAGAAGGAAAGAGACCAUUCAAGGUAUAAGAAUGGGUACACUUUGUAGUAUUAUGGUCUAAAACACUUCUUUUUUUUUGUCAAAUUAUUAAAAGAAUAAUACAUACACCUAAUUUCUCCAAAAAAAAAAAAAAACACAGAAAGAGAUGAGAUUGUUUGAAGCAUAAAAACAGGUAUUUGGCAUCCAACCACGAACAUAAAAUUAAAAAGAGUUCGCCGAGGGCUUCUCAUU